rnacentral:rRNA from 1 species
AUUGAACGCUGGCGGCAUGCCUUACACAUGCAAGUCGAACGGCAGCGCGGACUUCGGUCUGGCGGCGAGUGGCGAACGGGUGAGUAAUACAUCGGAACGUACCCUGUUGUGGGGGAUAACUAGUCGAAAGAUUAGCUAAUACCGCAUACGACCUGAGGGUGAAAGUGGGGGACCGCAAGGCCUCACGCAGCAGGAGCGGCCGAUGUCUGAUUAGCUAGUUGAUGGGGUAAAGGCCCACCAAGGCGCCGAUCAGUAGCUGGUCUGAGAGGACGAUCAUCCACACUGGGACUGAGACACGGCCCAGACUCCUACGGGAGGCAGCAGUGGGGAAUUUUGGACAAUGGGGGCAACCCUGAUCCAGCAAUGCCGCGUGUGUGAAGAAGGCCUUCGGGUUGUAAAGCACUUUUGUCCGGAAAGAAAUCGCGCUGGUUAAUACCUGGCGUGGAUGACGGUACCGGAAGAAUAAGCACCGGCUAACUACGUGCCAGCCGCCGCGGUAA